AUUGAACGCUGGCGGCAGGCUUAACACAUGCAAGUCGAGCGGUAACAGAGAGAAGCUUGCUUCUCUGCUGACGAGCGGCGGACGGGUGAGUAAUGCCUAGGAAUCUGCCUAGUAGUGGGGGAUAACUUGCCGAAAGGUAAGCUAAUACCGCAUACGUCCUACGGGAGAAAGGAGGGGACCUUCGGGCCUUUCGCUAUUAGAUGAGCCUAGGUCGGAUUAGUUAAUUGGUGAGGUAAUGGCUCACCAAGACCGCGAUCCGUAACUGGUCUGAGAGGAUGAUCAGUCACACUGGAACUGAGACACGGUCCAGACUCCUACGGGAGGCAGCAGUGGGGAAUAUUGGACAAUGGGGGGAACCCUGAUCCAGCCAUGCCGCGUGUGUGAAGAAGGUCUUAGGAUUGUAAAGCACCUUAAGUUGGGAGGGAGAGCAGUUAACUAAUAUUUGACUGUUUUGACGUUACCGACAGAAUAAGCACCGGCUAACUUCGUGCCAGCCGCCGCGGUAA
rnacentral:rRNA from 1 species